rnacentral:lncRNA from 1 species
CGAGACGUAGCGAUAGAAAUGAAACAACUAGCAUGACAAUGAUUGUAAUGGUAUCUAGGGAAAUGAUCAUCUUUCUUGAGAUCCCGCUUGGAGGAAGAACGACUCCGCGAAGCAGAAGAACCGAUGUAGUCGAACGAGUCCUCACAUUCAGACACGCUUGCGGAACUCUAUCGACACGAAGCAAACCGGAAAUAAGAAUCAACAGACGAU